AUUGAACGCUGGCGGCAGGCCUAACACAUGCAAGUCGAACGGUAACAGGAAGAAGCUUGCUUCUUUGCUGACGAGUGGCGGACGGGUGAGUAAUGUCUGGGAAACUGCCUGAUGGAGGGGGAUAACUACUGGAAACGGUAGCUAAUACCGCAUAACGUCGCAAGACCAAAGAGGGGGACCUUCGGGCCUCUUGCCAUCGGAUGUGCCCAGAUGGGAUUAGCUAGUAGGUGGGGUAACGGCUCACCUAGGCGACGAUCCCUAGCUGGUCUGAGAGGAUGACCAGACACACUGGAACUGAGACACGGUCCAGACUCCUACGGGAGGCAGAAGUGGGGAAUAUUGCAAAAUGGGCGCAAGCCUGAUGCAGCCAUGCCGCGUGUAUGAAGAAGGCCUUCGGGUUGUAAAGUACUUUCAGCGGGGAGGAAGGGAGUAAAGUUAAUACCUUUGCUCAUUGACGUUACCCGCAGAAGAAGCACCGGCUAACUCCGUG
rnacentral:rRNA from 1 species